rnacentral:rRNA from 1 species
GACGAACGCUGGCGGCGUGCUUAACACAUGCAAGUCGAACGAUGAAGCCUUCGGGUGGAUUAGUGGCGAACGGGUGAGUAACACGUGGGCAAUCUGCCCUGUACUUUGGGAUAAGCCUUGGAAACGGGGUCUAAUACCGGAUAUCACUUCUGACCGCAUGGUUGGUUGUUGAAAGUUCUGGCGGUACAGGAUGAGCCCGCGGCCUAUCAGCUUGUUGGUGGGGUAAUGGCCUACCAAGGCGACGACGGGUAGCCGGCCUGAGAGGGUGACCGGCCACACUGGGACUGAGACACGGCCCAGACUCCUACGGGAGGCAGCAGUGGGGAAUAUUGCACAAUGGGCGAAAGCCUGAUGCAGCGACGCCGCGUGAGGGAUGACGGCCU